UCCUCCCUCUGGCGGCGUGCUUAACACAUGCAAGUCGAACGGAAAGGCCCUGCUUUUGUGGGGUGCUCGAGUGGCGAACGGGUGAGUAACACGUGAGUAACCUGCCCUUGACUUUGGGAUAACUUCAGGAAACUGGGGCUAAUACCGGAUAGGAGCUCCUGCUGCAUGGUGGGGGUUGGAAAGUUUCGGCAGUUGGGGAUGGACUCGCGGCUUAUCAGCUUGUUGGUGGGGUAGUGGCUUACCAAGGCUUUGACGGGUAGCCGGCCUGAGAGGGUGACCGGCCACAUUGGGACUGAGAUACGGCCCAGACUCCUACGGGAGGCAGCAGUGGGGAAUAUUGCACAAUGGGCGGAAGCCUGAUGCAGCAACGCCGCGUGCGGGAUGACGGCCUUCGGGUUGUAAACCGCUUUCGCCUGUGACGAAGCGUGAGUGACGGUAAUGGGUAAAGAAGCACCGGCUAACUACGUG
rnacentral:rRNA from 1 species